UCCAACAUGUUCCGGAAGCAGGAAGGAGCC
rnacentral:piRNA from 1 species